rnacentral:rRNA from 1 species
UACGAAGGGGGCUAGCGUUGUUCGGAAUUACUGGGCGUAAAGCGCGCGCAGGCGGUUUCUCAAGUCAGUGGUGAAAGCCCGGAGCUCAACUCCGGAACUGCCAUUGAAACUGUGAAACUUGAGGACGAGAGAGGUGAGUGGAGUUCCCAGUGUAGAGGUGAAAUUCGUAGAGAUUUGGAGGAACACCAGUGGCGAAGGCGACUUUCUGGUCUGUAACUGACACUGAGGCGCGAAAGCUAGGGGAGCAAACGGG